CACAAAGCUUUGUUGUCUAUUUGAGCUCCAUAGAAUUCAAGGAUCAAAGAAGACUAGCAGACGGAGGACAUCCUAAUCGCUGUCAGGGUGCUGCCAACAUUCAAAUACACCUCCGCCACCUGCUAGCUACACCAGAAGAAAUUACGUCAAAAUCCAGCUUGGGGGAGAGCACCCCCAUUUAUCCAGCUAAGUGUUUCUAUUCGCGUUUAUACUUUACUCAAAUAAUAAAAAGAUGCAUAAUCAUAAAAACCCAAAUAAAUAUUUUGUGCUUAUAUAUAUCUUUGCUUAGUUUGCUAAAUAAAUAAAUAAAUAAAGUUUGCUAUGAACCCUCGUGAUAAGCUCUCAUAUGGAAAUGAUGAAUAGUUGCUCUGCCAUGACUAGUUCUCAAAAUUGAAAUCUCUCUCAAGUUUAGGCAUGACUGUUAUUAAUUAAGAUUUGCUCUAAACCUGAACUUGUGGGAAGAGUACCUGAUCUAAAGUCUAAGUCGUUAACGGAUAUGAUAUGGGAAGGUUGAGCUGUUGUUUAUCUGUUCCUAGAGAUGCUAGAAUUCUAGAGAAUUUUAUCUUUGAAAAUCUUUAAAAUGUUGCAUGAUGAGUUCAUGUAUGAUGAGAGUUUAAAUUCCUACCACAGCCAUAUAUACAUGCUUGCUAGACUAUGAACCACACAUUUAUUUUACUACUUAUGAGCAUUGAGUGUGGUCAAGCUGUGUAGACCCUUAGGAGCUUGUCAUGCGGUUAAAUCAAGAUUCACUUGCACGUUCACUCAUACAUGCAACUUCUACUUCGGAAGUACGCAUCCACAUAUAUCCACCCAUUUCCAUCUCCAGAACCACCCAAAAAUAUUCUACUCCUAAUCCGGGAGAGAAUAGCUAAAAAAUAUUUCUGUUUUCCCCUGUGAAAUAAAUGCUCAAGUUAUCUUGUUACUACCACUUGCUAUAUUAUUUCAGGAGAUGAGUGCUCUAAGAAAAAAAAGAGAAAGAAUACGAGGAAAUAAAAAGGGGCAAGUGCUCGGACCCUCGAAAGAAAAGAAAAAGUGAGACGAGAGGUAAAAAUGGACAAGUGUCCGACAGUAGAAUUAGGGGUACAAGAUACCCACCUGAGAGAAAAGAAAAAGAAAAUAUAGAGCAUCUCAUUCUCCUCAAAAAGUUUCAAAAGAGCAAGAAAGGUAUGUAUCCCCUCAAAAGAGCAUAAGUAGAAUUAGACUUUCACCAUUGUUAUCACCAUCAUUACCAUGCACCAUUCAUUCGCCACACAUGCACAUCUUGAUUUGACUUAUUGACUUGUUCUUUUGGAUCCAUGGUUUGACUAUGCAAUAAAUGUCUUGUAAGUAUGUAUUAGCUGUCUUCCACCUAUGAGCUCCAGAUAUCAAAAGCCUUAUUAGAGUAGGGUGAGAGAGAAGGCAAUGUCACUAUGCCUCAUACCAAAAAUACCACAUACUUUGAGAGAAAGCAUACACCUUUACUGCCUUGGUAAGGAUCCAGAAAUACCACAAAAGAGAGACUAGAGAGAGUCAUACAAGGAAUCUCUGAGUUUUAUUUGAAAAUCUGCAAAAACUCCAGAGCUAUAGUUAAUCGAAGAAUAAGAGACAUAGAGCUUGAUUAGACCGUUCUAUCUUUUAACUGCUCAAGACACAAGUGACGGUUACCAGCCCCAUGGUGGAAGGUAAAAUGAGUAAGUUUAAAUCUUAACAGUUUACCUUAACCUAGAGAUGAGAUCUUGUUUGAACGCAUGUGUAUCUUUAAGGUAUGAAACCACUGCAGAAACUUUUGAGUUUAUCUUUGCUCAAGGACGAGCAAAGGUUAAGCUUGGGGGAGCUUGUUGACGGUCCUUAAUGCUCACAUUUAACCGCCAACUAAUCAUGGAAAAGGAUCCAAAUGCAACCAACACCCAGACUUAGGGUUUUAUGUGACAGAAUUCCACGAGUUUUGGUGUUUGUCUAUUUCUGCAGGGUGUUAUCAGGAAAUAUGGAAGAAAGGCCCACACGUCGGGUUUACAUAGAGGUAUUAACGUGCUGCGCAAUUUUUUACCAUCUAGAAGACUCCAGAAGCCAUGGGAACGAAACGGAGGCCGAGAGGGCUCAGGCACAGGGCGCCCGCCCACUUCCAGAGACCAAUUCGGACACGUUUCGCGGAUUAUGCUCCACCGACCUAAAGGAUCAAGGAAAACCGUGCGAUUAAAGUCGGUUUGAUCCAACAGCCUAGAUUCACUUGAAGGGACUAUAAAACCAAACCCCCUGGCCCCUGGAGAUCAUACCUCUUCUAUAGAAUCAAAGUUAGGGUUUCAAUUCUUCAUCCAAGUAGAGAGGAUCCCUCUAGUUCUUCUAGUUCUACCUCUAGUUCAUCUAGAUCUAGUUCUAGUUCAUCUAGUUCUAAUUCUAGUUCCUCUAGUUCUAGUUCUAGUUCUAGUUAGUUCUAGUUGUAAUCUAGAAAAUAGGGAGAGAGAAGAGGAGAG
rnacentral:lncRNA from 1 species